rnacentral:rRNA from 1 species
GUCUUUUUGAUAAAUAAUUUAAAGUCUAAUCUGCCCCCUGAAAUUAUUUUAAAGGGCUGCGGUAUCUUAACCGUACAAAGGUAGCAUAAUAAUUAGGUUUUUAAUUGAAAUCUUGAAUGAAUGAUUGGACGAGAUAUGAGCUGUUUUAAAAUAUAAAUUUGAAUUUAAUUUUUUAGUUAAAAAGCUAAAAUAUUUAUAAAAGACGAGAAGACCCUAUAAAUCUUUAUAAUUUAUUUAUUUUAAUUAAUUAUUUUAAUAAAAUUAAUUUAAAUAAUAAAAUUAUUUUAUUGGGGUGAUAUAAAAAUUUUUUAAACUUUUUAUGAUUAUAAUACUAUAAUUUAAGAUUUAUAAAUAUAUGAUCUAUUAAUAAUAAUUAAAAGAAAAAGAUACUUUAGGGAUACCAGCGUAAUUUUAAUAUUAAGUUCAUAUUAUUAUUAAAGAUUGCGACCUCGAUGUUGGAUUAAAAUUUAAUUUAAAUGCAAAAGUUUAAAAAUUAAGUCUGUUCGACUUUUAAAAUUUU